CCUACGGUAGGCAGCAGUGGGGAAUAUUGCACAAUGGGGGAAACCCUGAUGCAGCGACGCCGCGUGAGUGAAGCAGUAUUUCGGUAUGUAAAGCUCUAUCAGCAGGGAAGAAAAUGACGGUACCUGAUUAAGAAGCCCCGGCUAACUACGUGCCAGCAGCCGCUGUCAUACGUAGGGCGCCCGCGUUAUCCGGAUUUACUGGGUGUAAAGGGAGCGUAGACGGCAGCGCAAGUCUGAAGUGAAAUGCCGGGGCUUAACCCCGGAACUGCUUUGGAAACUGUGCAGCUAGAGUGCAGGAGAGGUAAGUGGAAUUCCUAGUGUAGCGGUGAAAUGCGUAGAUAUUAGGAGGAACACCAGUGGCGAAGGCGGCUUACUGGACUGUAACUGACGUUGAGGCUCGAAAGCGUGGGGAGCAAACAGGAUUAGAUACCCCAGUAGUC
rnacentral:rRNA from 1 species